rnacentral:tRNA from 1 species
AAACUAUUAAAAAUUUGUUUUGAAAACAAAUUUAGAGAAUUUUUCUUGUAGUUUU